rnacentral:lncRNA from 1 species
CGCAAUUAAUGAAGUUAAUCAAAAGCUCAAAUUCUUUGAUACUAGUUAAACUCGAGCUCUCCAAGAUUAUCUAGAAAAACAGCCAUUGUGUUUUAAAACUACCUUGAAAUUUGUCAAAUUUAGAGUUGUACUUCCAAGCACAAAUAUAUUCCUGCACAUGAUCGUAGUUGGAAGGAGUUCCUCUUGAUGGAAACAAAUUCUAAACUGCAGAGUUAAAAAAUCAAGUUCCAAAGCCACUCACCAGAAACUUUAGUUCUUGGCCAUACCAGUGCUUAUACAGAAACAUUAAUAUAGAAAUGGAAAACUAGUGUUAAACUCAGAUCUCGACUAAAUAAGCAAUUUUUAUUUUGGGAAAAACCAACCAAACCAUUAUUAAAAAUCAUUCAACUAUAUUAGGCAUAAACAAAGGAAAAUGUAACUGUAACAAGAUUGCAUAAACAAAAUGGAAGGUGUCAACAGCGGGUAACGGUUUAGCAUGUCAUAACUACCAGGUAUUUUGUUCCCAUUUUACCUGUGUUAACUGUCAACCUUAGAUGCAGAACAAUUACACUAUAUCAUAACAACUUCCUCAAAGACUCACAUUCAAUAUGAGAAAUAUUAGCACAUACAACAGCCUCCUUGCAACACACUUUCCUAUCAGAUGUAAUUCCUGAGUCCAACUAAACAAGUACCUCAUUUCCCAUAUGCUAGCAUUCCUCUACACUACGGUAUGAUAUCUGGUUUGACGAUGAUUUAUAAAUACCAUAGAACUGUAGUAAUGAUGGAAACAGCAACAAAUAAAAUGGAUUAAAUCCUCAGGUAUAAUGCACUCAAAUGCAUUACUAGUUAACAAAAUAUUUAUCCAUAGACUGGAAAGACCAAAAAAGAUAUAUUCCAGAAAUAUAUGAAGAUAAAUUGAACUAGGCAACAUCAAUUGCACUGCGUGUCCUCAAAAUAUGUCAGAUGAAGAAUCAUGUGUCAGUAGCCUCAACAUUACAACAACUGAAAACAUCAACAUGAGCCUGACAUCCAACGAAAAUGCUACCUUGCAGCUACUAACUGCUGACAAACGCUGUCAUAAAGGCAUGGAAAUACCUGUAAAAUACACAAAUGGAAGCAUUGCAAUGAGUUCUUGUCAUCCAGUUAUUAAAGUUAGUACCUCAAAUUAAAUAGAAAAAUGAGAUGAGUGCAAUUUUCUAAUCAACAAUGUAUUUUAACAAAAAAAUCCUGAUAUUUCUACAGUGUACAGCAAGCCUAACAUCAAAGAUAUAUAUUUACUCACGCAGACAACUUCUAACAAAGUGUGAAAGGAUCCAAUGACAUUUAAUUUUGUUGAGUUCUAAAAUAUAAUCUUAUGCAAAAAUUAAAAAAAAUCUAGAUAUUUGUCUUCUUGGGCAUCAGGUAUCUCUAGUUAACAGUUAACACGCAUACCCUGGAAUGCACUGCAGCAAAACUUCAUCAAAAUAAUACCAUCAUGAUUUAUUUUGGCUUUUUUUAAUUCAUGAUGCAACUAUCGUGGAACAUUUUCUAUCAGCCGGCUAAACAAAUCUGUCUAUCUACUUAUCUACUAGCAUAAGAUCCAAAGAUUCCAAAAUUUAAAAACAAUAGGUAAAAUCAAAAUGAUAUUGACCAAUUUACUAUAUCAUUUGGAAGAACUCCCUCCUCUUACCCCUUGGUGCCAGACUUCAUAACACAUUUCCCUUGAAUGCCUGCCGUAUGUUUUCUCACAUCUAAGUAAAUUCUGUCACAAAUAUAUAUACUUCCAAUGCCAAGUGCUGAUCAUUUGGUAAUGGUAUUGGAAAAUCAAUUUAUGCACUUUGCUUUUUUAUAGAACCUCCCUCGUCUAACUUAUUUAAACUCCAAAGUGCAUUCAGUAGAUUUUAACUCCCGAGAUAAACACAACUUAUUUUACUUUCUUGUUUUCGUCUCCUAUGAAUAUUUAUUGAGAAGUUUAACCGAUCAGACCUUUCUCUCCCCCACUUGUAGUUCUAAUUCAUAUGCAAUGGACAGAAAACAGUAGCAAUGUACACAACACAAUAUAGCAAACAUUAACUUUACUUCCUAGGAUUGAUUUAAUGGUAGGAGUUUUUAGUACUUUACACGAGCUCUUCGAUUCAAACCUCACCCUCCUGAUUGUAUACGCGUAUUAAAAAACGAAGAUAUAAAAACCCAAGAAAAAAACACGGGCUAUUAGUGUGACGUGCAACGACAUUCCUUGCCACAAAUCUCAUCUCACAUUCCUUAAAGUCAUGCCAGAAAUUCACAAUAACAUUGCUGAAUAGUGAACAAACGCAAAAAGAACACACCUUGAGGAACUAACCCCCAACCCUUAGACUCAACAGACAGGCUCGACACUAAUCGAGCUGAAGCCACCGCGCUAUGUAACGGCAUAAUUGAUUCCAAACUCGCCAACUCCACCGGUAACCUAACCAACCAAAUUACAAAGUUUAAUUAAAACAAAUAAAUAAACAAAAUCAUAUGAAAGUGUCAUAUAGGUUUUCAAGAACGAAAUGCCAAUGAAAAAAUUCAUUUUUUUUUUUCUAUUAGGAGAUGAAAUGAAGCGUAAGGGAGAUGCGGGGCUCACCGGAAAGUACGAGAAAGGCGGCGCGCAGAGAGAGGAAGUGGAUUGGAGUGAAGAGAGAGUGAGGGUUUGGUGAAGUUGCUGUGAGCAAGUGUCUGUAACCGAGACGACAACCUACACAAAACCUUCGAUGAUGCCAUUUGUGUGUUGUUUCAGCUGAAAAUGUCACACUGUGGAGUAUGAAACCUUCCCACUCCUAAUACUAUAUUUCCCAGAAUAUCAACGACGCCGUUUCGCCUUAUU